rnacentral:rRNA from 1 species
AUUGAACGCUGGCGGCAGGCCUAACACAUGCAGGUCGAACGGCAGCACAGAAGAGCUUGCUCUUUGGGUGGCGAGUGGCGGACGGGUGAGUAAUGUCUGGGAAACUGCCCGAUGGAGGGGGAUAACUACUGGAAACGGUAGCUAAUACCGCAUAACGUCGCGAGACCAAAGUGGGGGACCUUCGGGCCUCACACCAUCGGAUGUGCCCAGAUGGGAUUAGCUAGUAGGUGGGGUAAUGGCUCACCUAGGCGACGAUACCUAGCUGGUCUGAGAGGAUUACCAGCCACACUGGAACUGAGACACUGUCCAGACUCCUACGGGAGGCAGCAGUUGGGAAUAUUGCACAAUGUGCGCAAGCCUGAUGCAGCCAUGCCGCGUGUAUGAAGAAUGCCUUCGGGUUGUAAAGUACUUUCAGCGGGGAGGAAGGCGGUGAGGUUAAUAACCUCGCCGAUUGACGUUACCCGCAGAAGAAGCACCGGCUAACUCCGUGCCAGCCGCCGCAGUAA